UAACUGAAGAGUUUGAUCAUGGCUCAGAUUGAACGCUGGCGGCAGGCUUAACACAUGCAAGUCGAGCGGGGGAAGGUAGCUUGCUACUGGACCUAGCGGCGGACGGGUGAGUAAUGCUUAGGAAUCUGCCUAUUAGUGGGGGACAACAUCUCGAAAGGGAUGCUAAUACCGCAUACGUCCUACGGGAGAAAGCAGGGGAUCUUCGGACCUUGCGCUAAUAGAUGAGCCUAAGUCGGAUUAGCUAGUUGGUGGGGUAAAGGCCUACCAAGGCGACGAUCUGUAGCGGGUCUGAGAGGAUGAUCCGCCACACUGGGACUGAGACACGGCCCAGACUCCUACGGGAGGCAGCAGUGGGGAAUAUUGGACAAUGGGGGGAACCCUGAUCCAGCCAUGCCGCGUGUGUGAAGAAGGCCUUAUGGUUGUAAAGCACUUUAAGCGAGGAGGAGGCUACUUUAGUUAAUACCUAGAGAUAGUGGACGUUACUCGCAGAAUAAGCACCGGCUAACUCUGUGCCAGCAGCCGCGGUAAUACAGAGGGUGCGAGCGUUAAUCGGAUUUACUGGGCGUAAAGCGUGCGUAGGCGGCUUAUUAAGUCGGAUGUGAAAUCCCCGAGCUUAACUUGGGAAUUGCAUUCGAUACUGGUGAGCUAGAGUAUGGGAGAGGAUGGUAGAAUUCCAGGUGUAGCGGUGAAAUGCGUAGAGAUCUGGAGGAAUACCGAUGGCGAAGGCAGCCAUCUGGCCUAAUACUGACGCUGAGGUACGAAAGCAUGGGGAGCAAACAGGAUUAGAUACCCUGGUAGUCCAUGCCGUAAACGAUGUCUACUAGCCGUUGGGGCCUUUGAGGCUUUAGUGGCGCAGCUAACGCGAUAAGUAGACCGCCUGGGGAGUACGGUCGCAAGACUAAAACUCAAAUGAAUUGACG
rnacentral:rRNA from 1 species